AGAUAGAAAGCUUAAUAGGUUAAGACACCUAAUAAAAGUAUAAUAUUAAAAAAAAAGAAGAGCAAAGUCUAAACAUCGAUCUCCCACUGAGUAAUCGGAUUUCUUCGUCUAAGUAUUGUGGUUCAUGUCAAAAAGUGGAUAAUAUGAAGAUAUUUUUAUAAUAAAUGAAGGACGAAAGUAACAAUAUGUUCACCCAUGUAAAGAUAAAUGAUUUAGAGAUAUAGGUAUGAGUAAUUUAGAAAAAGUCCAGAAAAAAUUUAAU
rnacentral:lncRNA from 1 species